UGGGAGGCUUUGAAGUGUGGACGCCAGUCUGCAUGGAGCCGACCUUGAAAUACCACCCUUUAAUGUUUGAUGUUCUAACGUGGGCCCCUUACCGGGGUUGCGGACAGUGUCUGGUGGGUAGUUUGACUGGGGCGGUCUCCUCCUAAAGAGUAACGGAGGAGCACGAAGGUUGGCUAAUCCUGGUCGGACAUCAGGAGGUUAGUGCAAUGGCAUAAGCCAGCUUGACUGCGAGCGUGACGGCGCGAGCAGGUGCGAAAGCAGGUCAUAGUGAUCCGGUGGUUCUGAAUGGAAGGGCCAUCGCUCAACGGAUAAAAGGUACUCCGGGGAUAACAGGCUGAUACCGCCCAAGAGUUCAUAUCGACGGCGGUGUUUGGCACCUCGAUGUCGGCUCAUCACAUCCUGGGGCUGAAGUAGGUCCCAAGGGUAUGGCUGUUCGCCAUUUAAAGUGGUACGCGAGCUGGGUUUAGAACGUCGUGAGACAGUUCGGUCCCUAUCUGCCGUGGGCGCUGGAGAACUGAGGGGGGCUGCUCCUAGUACGAGAGGACCGGAGUGGACGCAUCACUGGUGUUCGGGUUGUCAUGCCAAUGGCACUGCCCGGUAGCUAAAUGCGGAAGAGAUAAGUGCUGAAAGCAUCUAAGCACGAAACUUGCCCCGAGAUGAGUUCUCCCUGACUCCUUGAGAGUCCUGAAGGAACGUUGAAGACGACGACGUUGAUAGGCCGGGUGUGUAAGCGCAGCGAUGCGUUGAGCUAACCGGUACUAAUGAACCGUGAGGCUUAACCUUACAACGCCGAAG
rnacentral:rRNA from 1 species